rnacentral:rRNA from 1 species
UACAGAGUUCCUGCCCUCACGGGUAGAAACCCCACCCUUGUGUAUUAUAUAUUGUUGCUUUGGCGGGCCGCCCUCACGGGCGCUGGCUCACGCUGGCUCGCGCUCGCCAAAGGACCCCAAACUCUGAAGUAUAGUGUCGUCUGAGUACUAUUUAAUAGUUAAAACUUUCAACAACGGAUCUCUUGGUUCUGGCAUCGAUGAAGAACGCAGCGAAAUGCGAUAAGUAAUGUGAAUUGCAGAAUUCAGUGAAUCAUCGAAUCUUUGAACGCACAUUGCGCCCCUUGGUAUUCCGAGGGGCAUGCCUGUUCGAGCGUCAUAUUAACCACUCCCGCUUGCGGGGUCUUGGGCUUCGCCUCCGGGCGGGCCUUAAAAUCAGUGGCGGUGCCGUCGGGCUCUACGCGUAGUAAAUUUUCUCGCGAUAGGGUCCCGGUGGAUGCUUGCCAACAACCCCCAACUUCUUAAGGUUGA